CAAAUAUCAUCCAAAAAUAAAGAUACAUAUUCAUAAAUUAUGCUUUUCCACUUUAUGAAAAAUAAAUCCAAAUCCUACCCUGAUCUCCACAUUUCAAGGUAGAUGAACUACAAAAUCUGACAAAAAAUUGUUAGCAGCAAAUUUGAAUGUGAAUGUAAAUGACAAAGAUGUAUGAGUGAAUCUAGAAUUUAAAAUAGCAAAAAUAUCAUAGAAGCAGAACGGUUACUACUUCUGCACUUUCCAGAUGAUAAUUCUAGGCAGCUAUCUAAACAAACCGUGAUUAGAGCAAAGACUAAGCUCCUGAAAGAAGGACAGAUUCAAUACGGAAUCACCCUCUGAAAACUCAUAUUCUUUGUGUUAUCCAUGUUUUCUUUUAACCUCGAAAAGCACAUAUGUAUGUGCUUGUACUUUGAGAGAUUUAUGCUUGAUACUAACAGGAAACUAGAAAUUAUUCCUUGAAGCAGUUCCUUGACAGAUUUGGAAGAAAGAACCAAUCUACUUUGGAACGAAAUAUCUACAUCAUCAGGAAGUCAAGGCCCCUAACUAGCUGUUAAGCAUACUAUGUUGACCUUCCAAAAUUGGACGGAUGGAUAAGAGUAGAAGGCUGGGAAAUAAACAAACUACUUCUAUAUGGUCCAAGAAAGUGAGCCAAAGGCAGUAACGCUUUAUGCUACAAGGUUCUUCACAGACUCCACACCAAAGCAAGACUACUCUGCAAGAUUUGAAAAUGGCAUUUGUCUGAAUGUGAACAAGGAGAAUCCAAAGAUGACAUUAUCAUGAAGCACAAGCAUCACACAAGGGCUCUAUUCCUCUCCACAGUAAUGCAUCAGUCUCUUGCUUAAUGCCAGAUGCCCCAUCGUUCUGGAGUUGACCUUUGAGACUGAAAGAUAAUAGACACCUUAAGAACAGCUGCUCUGACGAAAAAUGGCUCCU
rnacentral:lncRNA from 1 species